UACGGAGGGGGCUAGCGUUAUUCGGAAUCAUUGGGCGUAAAGGGCGCGUAGGCGGCCUGAUAAGUCAGGGGUGAAAUCCCUCGGCUCAACCGAGGAACUGCCUUUGAAACUGUCGGGCUCGAGGCCGGGAGAGGGUAGCGGAAUUCCGAGUGUAGCGGUGAAAUGCGUAGAUAUUCGGAGGAACACCAGUGGCGAAGGCGGCUACCUGGACCGGUUCUGACGCUGAGGCGCGAAAGCGUGGGGAGCAAACAGG
rnacentral:misc_RNA from 1 species